rnacentral:tRNA from 1 species
UCCUUGCUUGUCUGGUGGCUAAAAUUUCUGGUUUUCAUCCAGGGUACUCAGGUUCAAUUCCUGGGCAGGGAA